GAUGAACGCUGGCGGCGUGCUUAACACAUGCAAGUCGAACGGGAAUUACUUUAUUGAAGCUUCGGUCGAUUUAAUUUAAUUCUAGUGGCGGACGGGUGAGUAACGCGUGGGUAACCUGCCUUGUACAGGGGGAUAACAGUCAGAAAUGGCUGCUAAUACCGGAUGAUGUCGUAAGACCAAAGAUUUAUCGCCCAGGGAUGAGCCCGCGUAAGAUUAGGUAGUUGGUGAGGUAAAGGCUCACCAAGCCGGCGAUCUUUAGCUGGUCUGAGAGGAUGAUCAGCCACACUGGGACUGAGACACGGCCCAG
rnacentral:rRNA from 1 species